UGUGUGUGUGUUUAGGUGUGUGUGUGUGUGUGUGUUUAUGUGUGUGUGUGUUUAGGUGUGUGUGUGUUUAGGUGUGUGUGUGUGUUUAGGUGUGUGUGUGUUUAGGUGUGUGUGUGUUUAGGUGUGUGUGUGUGUUUAGGUGUGUGUGUGUGUGUUUAGGUGUGUGUGUGUUUAGGUGUGUGUGUGUGUGUUUAGGUGUGUGUGUGUGUGUGUGUUUAGGUGUGUGUGUGUGUGUGUGUGUUUAGGUGUGUGUGUGUGUGUGUGUUUAGGUGUGUGUGUGUGUGUGUGUUUAGGUGUGUGUGUUUAGGUGUGUGUGUGUGUGUGUGUGUGUUUAGGUGUGUGUGUGUUUAGGUGUGUGUGUUUAGGUGUGUGUGUGUGUGUGUUUAGGUGUGUGUGUUUAGGUGUGUGUGUGUGUGUGUUUAGGUGUGUGUGUUUAGGUGUGUGUGUUUAGGUGUGUGUGUUUAGGUGUGUGUGUUUAGGUGUGUGUGUUUAGGUGUGUGUGUUUAGGUGUGUGUGUGUGUGUGUGUGUGUGUGUGUUUAGAUGUGUGUGU